rnacentral:rRNA from 1 species
UAGGGAAUCUUCGGCAAUGGACGAAAGUCUGACCGAGCAACGCCGCGUGAGUGAAGAAGGUUUUCGGAUCGUAAAACUCUGUUGUUAGAGAAGAACAAGGACGUUAGUAACCGAACGUCCCCUGACGGUAUCUAACCAGAAAGCCACGGCUAACUACGUGCCAGCAGCCGCGGUAAUACGUAGGUGGCAAGCGUUGUCCGGAUUUAUUGGGCGUAAAGCGAGCGCAGGCGGUUUCUUAAGUCUGAUGUGAAAGCCCCCGGCUCAACCGGGGAGGGUCAUUGGAAACUGGGAGACUUGAGUGCAGAAGAGGAGAGUGGAAUUCCAUGUGUAGCGGUGAAAUGCGUAGGUAUAUGGAGGAACACCAGUGGCGAAGGCGGCUCUCUGGUCUGUAACUGACGCUGAGGCUCGAAAGCGUGGGGAGCAAACAGG